rnacentral:rRNA from 1 species
GCAAGUCGAACGGUAACAUGAGAGCUUGCUCUUGAUGACGAGUGGCGCACGGGUGCGUAACGCGUAUGCAACCUACCCUUAACUGGAGGAUAGCCCAGAGAAAUUUGGAUUAAUACUCCAUAACAUAUUGAAUUCGCAUGUUUUUAAUAUUAAAGUUUCGAUGGUUAAGGAUGGGCAUGCGUAAUAUUAGCUAGUUGGUAAGGUAAUGGCUUACCAAGGCAACGAUAUUUAGGGGUUCUGAGAGGAUGAUC